GGGUCAAUGAUGAGAUAUUUAUAUAGUCUGAAGAGAGGUGAUGACUUAAAAAAUCAUGCUCAAUAGAAUUAUACUUAGGUCC
rnacentral:snoRNA from 1 species